GAAGCGAAACAAAAGUAAGAAACGAGUUAAACAAGCAGCAUGCCAUCAGCGGCAGGCCGAAGAGCUUUGAAAACACAGCAGCGCUUUGAAAACACAGCAGCGCCUUCCCAUUCCCGUGAAAAACUGAGGCCCGGCGGAGACGCUUCCUCUUUCCGACGGCCGCGCGGGUCACGGCGCGCUGGGCACUGCCCCGCCAGCGGCACCGCCGGGCCCGCCCGGCCGCGCUGCCCGCGGCACCUCCGGGGCGGCCGCCCGGCCCCGGCCCCGCUCCCGCGGCCUCCUCCCGCCCCGCUCCCGGUGCCACGGGCCACUGGCACCGCGCUCCCUCCACCGCCUGGCAGCUGCUGAACGAAAAGAAGCGUUUCCAGAGCGGAUUUCUUCAGGUUUGACACUGAAAACUGCCUUAUAAGCCUCUCAAGAACUGGACCAGAAGGAGAGGAAGGCAGUGAGGAUAACUGAGCAAUAAAAUCACUCCCUCAGUCACAAGAGGCUUCUUACAAAGCUGGACUUAGGAUAUGAGAACACCUCAAAGACAGCUGAGGACAAAUAUAAGGCAGUUAAAACUCAAAUAAUGCGAAGAAGGUGAAAUGGAACAAGGAUUACAAGUUGUGUGACAAGAUUAUUAUCCAGUGGCCUAAACCCAAGGAAAACAAACAUUUUCUGUUCUGUCACAAGACUCUGCCUCAGUAAAUCCAUAACAGCUCUGGCGUUCCUGGGUUCAUGAAAGGGAUUUGCCAAAUUCAUGGGUCCAUCAGAGCUAUUACAUGCAUUGGCUGAAUUACAUCCUUCCAGGAACCACAGUGUAAGUGCUUCAUCCUGUCAUGAAGAAAUCUUGGCACUCUACCUGAAGGACAGCAGUGCCCAGUCAAAAUGCUUAAAAUCAGAACCUUAACAAGGUGGAUUUAACUGUGCUGCCAUGUUGAGGUGCAAAUUGCUGCAUUGCCUCCUAAAGAAGAAAACUCAUACACGUGAGAGGCCACAUGGAGCUACACCCAGAAAGCUGCUCUUAAUUCAGGUGGGAUGUCAUGUGCUUUCCACUGUCAAAGGAGACUAAAGCAUAAAAAGAGAGAAAAUCUGCAUGUCACAGAUAUUUUGUCAUCACUACUGCUGAUCACUGUGGGAAAGCAUUUUCUAGGGCAGCAAACCAAGUUUUUUCUCUUAAUUAGGUAAGAUAGAAGAGCCUGGGAAUCUCACCCUUCCCUGCUACCUUAUAUAUUUUCCCUGUUCAAAUGCAGCAGGGUGUUUUUUUAAUAUAAAACAUUCCUCCCAUUUUAAUAUAAAUUAUGUAUAAUAUUUUUCAAUACAUUAUUUAGUAAAGGCAUUAUUAGAUAUAGGAAAGUAUUACAUGCAGUUUCUCUGUCACAGUACUGUA